AGUUAUUUUAUUAUCUGAUGGUUGCUUAACAUAUCUAAUGUAUCGCAAGCUUGACACUUUUAAUGAGAUAUAAUUAGACAUUUAUAAAUUGUUGCAAGGUUGCCAGAUUGACUGUUUGCGAUGACCAAAUUCCGAAAUCUGGCCACCGCAAAAAGUGUUUUUCUUCUCGGAAGGUAAGGAAGUUUGUUUUCAGCCAUGUAUUCAGAAAACUGAAAGUAUUCUUAUGACAUUAGUUACAAAUAAAAAUAGAAGCAAAAUGUAUUAUUAGUAGUAAUAAUAACACUGAUAUA